AUGUUUCUGGUGUUAGUGGUUAGCAUGUUCGCCUCACACCUCCAGGGUCCGGGGUUCGAUUCCCGCCGGGGCCAGA